rnacentral:tRNA from 1 species
GUCCCUGUAGCUUAAACACCAAAGCAUGACACUGAAGAUGUUAAGAUGGUACUUACAAUACCUGGGGACA